rnacentral:misc_RNA from 1 species
UUCUCCAUUUAGCUCUGUUUGAGACCAAUUUCGAAUUUAUGAAAAACUUAAAAAAAUCAAGAGGAUCAUUUUACUAUUUUUGAAACCAUUAAGUAUGUUAAUGCGACAACCUCCAAAUGUAAGAGAAAUACAAGGCAAAAAGACCCUAAAAGUAGCAAGACAACAAGACCCUAAAUUUUAUAAGCAUUACAUAGAAAUAAAUUUUCAAUUUUUAUCUUUUGCUGUUGACAUUAUGAUUUCAGCUCAGUCAUAAAACAAAGGUGUCUUCAUGAACGUAAUUGUCAAGCCCAGCCCGGCUGAUUCAAUCAGAAAGCUAGGAACCGGUCCCUUGGCCAGUUCUAUUUAUCCCUCAAACUCAUUUUUUCAAACCCAACCAAAAACUCUCUAAACUAGGCCAAAUAAUUGGUAAAAUGGUCAAUUUGGACUGGGUUCAACAAGUUGGGCGGGUUUUCAGGAAGGUAACAUGGCACUUAAUCUAGUUACCACAUAACCACAUUAACACCUUAUUUGGAUCAUAGUUUGUGAUGAUUUCAUAUUAUAUGGUAUGAUUAUUUUACAUAUUUGGAAAGAUUGAUUAUAAACAAUGAUGAUUUUGGAUUGUGAAAUGGUUUCCUAACCAUCAUUUUAUC